rnacentral:rRNA from 1 species
UACGUAGGGGGCAAGCGUUAUCCGGAUUCACUGGGUGUAAAGGGAGCGUAGACGGCGACGCAAGUCUGGAGUGAAAGCCCGGGGCCCAACCCCGGGACUGCUCUGGAAACUGCGGCGCUGGAGUACGGGAGGGGCAGGCGGAAUUCCUGGUGUAGCGGUGAAAUGCGUAGAUAUCAGGAGGAACACCGGCGGCGAGGGCGGCCUGCUGGACCGUGACUGACGUUGAGGCUCGAGAGCGUGGGGAGCAAACAGG